UACGGAGGGUGCGAGCGUUGUCCGGAAUCACUGGGCGUAAAGGGCGCGUAGGCGGCCUGAUAAGUAGGGGGUGAAAUCCUGCGGCUUAACCGCAGGGCUGCCUUCUAAACUGUCAGGCUUGAGCACAGUAGAGGCAGGUGGAAUUCCCGGUGUAGCGGUGAAAUGCGUAGAUAUGCGGAGGAACACCGAUGGCGAAGGCAAUCCCCUGGACCUGUACUGACGCUCAUGCACGAAAGCGUGGGGAGCAGACAGG
rnacentral:rRNA from 1 species